ACGGGUACAAACUGCCGCAACGACGGAUACACCUCAAGGACCUCAACGGCCCACGGACCAACGACUGCUCGACAGGAAAUUUGAUGGGACAGUCAAUAGGCCUCCGGUGUUUUCGGGCAACCCUGCGGACUUCAGGGAGUGGGUCUUCGCUAUCGAGCUCGCCAUGGUGUCACAGCGCGUCAACGACGACCAGGACCAGGUGCGAUUCGCUGCCAGCUACCUACAAGGCAACGCCAGGCUUUGGCUGAUGUCGGUAUUGGAUUCCGGCGCCUGCAUCCACGACUGGCCGACGCUAAAACAGUCACUCGGCGACGUGUAUGGCCCAGUCCAUGAACAGGAGGAAGCGCGCCUCAAGCUGUUUGGACUGGUACAGCACGGCAACCUGGACGCAUACGUACAGGAAUUCACUAACCUCUGCCUUCAGGUGAACGACCUGAAUGACCAUUCGAAGGCGGUGCUGUUCGUGAGGGGCCUGCAUGCAGCAAUCGGUCACUCGGCUCUUCGGGAGCACCCGACGACACUAGGCCAGGCCAUUCGUGCCGCACGCAUGGCAGCCAUGCAGGCAUCAGGAGUAUGGAGGGAACAGGCCACCACAGGCACAGGCAUUCGUCGGUUGAGGCACCCGGGUCCGGCACCUCACGCUCAGGCCAGUACACCGAGGCAACCUGUCAGUCCAUGGGGACGUCAGCAGCAGCAAUCUAACCGUACGAGUGAGCCCAUAUGCCCACAUUUUAACGCCAGCUGGCCGAACGACUGUCUACAAGGCAUUCGUGAGGCCCCUGAUGGAGUAUGCCCCGCUUGUGUGGAUGGGCGCGCCAGCCAGCCACAUCCAACGUCUGGAUAAUGUUCAACGCCGCGCACUGCGCAUCAUUGGCCCUGGUGCAAUUCUCCCCAGUCUGGCUGUCCGCGGACUGUUGCUGCUCUCUCGUGCAUGUACAAAUUGCAUUUCAUUACUGGUCCUCCUCAGCUACUUGCUGUAUUGCCACCGCAUCGCGUUUCUCCAGCCAACCCCAGAACCAGGAACCAGCACAAUAAUGCCACUAGCCACGCCUAUCAGCUGUCAGACACGCUCCCUGUCUCAGCUCCAUCCGUCGUGAAGCGGUCGUUCCCGUACUGCUGUAUUGGCGCAUGGAACUCCCUUCCUGACAGGCUGCUGUCGCAGCGCCCACACAAAACACGUUUUCAGUCAUUCAAGACAAAGGUCUACCGACGCCUGAGAGACAGCAACUGGCAACAGAUUCCCUGUAAUUUUUUGAGCUCGUCGCUUGCCGGACCCGCUAAUCCGCGUACCUGGCCUUGCUCAGAGUGCUCAGCUGUGUUUUGCAUACAUGCAAAAAACUUGUUCAGUCCGUGCGCCAGGCCACUGAGUGGGCCGUUUUCAUUUUCCUGGGUCCGAUCCCGCGGGAAAAAGUCUGCACAAAACUGUGUUGGUGAAGAUGAUGACGACAAUGGCAGUUGGGGGAGAAAUUUGGCAAUUGUUUUGGCCUUUCUCGCGGCCUGUCUUCGCUCCUUUGCCUUUGCAGCAAUGGAAGAUGAUGAGUUCAAUGUUGUGCUUUGACGCCGAGUAGAAAAUUUGAAUCGCAAACGCCAUCUUGGCCUUUAUUUAUGGAAGAAACUGCUCUCCCCGAUUUGCUGGUUUCGCCGACUGGCAUCGAGAAGUAGACGAGCUGCGCUUUCCUAGAGCCGCGGACACCAAGCUCUCAUGGCGGAUCUUAGUGGAUCGUGCUCUAACGCGUCUUGGCAUUGUGUGAGAACAGCACGAAGAGGACCUUGGCUAUUAACGCGUCUUGGCAUUGUGUGAGAACAGCACGAAGAGGACCUUGGGUAUUGCAGCCUUUCCGCAGAAGGAGAAUGACUCGCUUCUUUUGCUAGUGUGCAAACAUCCAUGUGUUCUCCCAGUACUGCUGUUAGCUCAGCCAGAAGAUUAUCGCAGAUCUGAGUGUGACAAGCGAUCAGCUGUAAUAGCUUUGUUGUGAAUGCUUGCACUGCUGUCAACUAUUAUCCAUUCUAGCUGUGCCUCGUAGCACUCCUUGCAAAAAACAUCAUUCUAUGCUAUUGUCAUGUUCUUACUCCUUGGAACUGCUGAGACCGUUUCAUAGUGGGAACAGUUCAUCUGUGCCUGUUUGUCCAUAACUGUCUUUACAUGUGCUGCAAUGCCGCCUAUAUUGGCGCGGCGUUCACUUUUGAGCUCGUCCGCUACGUUCCGUUUCAUACACUUCUGUUGUAACGCAAUGAAGAUUCUCAUUGACACUCCUUUACACAGCCAGCGUAUGUGGAUAUUAGUCUGUAGGUGGCUGCAAUUUGCGUUUUUGCCUUUCGCCGUUCACUAUUUUACCAAAAUAUUCCAAUAUUCUGCAUUUGUCGGAUGUGUGCACUGGUGUCCAGACGAGUUGCUUGGCAUAACUCGCAGGCAGGAAUGCAUACACGCCCAUGAUGUACCUGAGUGGCAUUAUUACACCGUCCUGAUGUGUUCAUUGUGAGUGCUACAUGCUUCCAGCUGUCCUCCAUAUACAUGUAAAUAGCGAGAAAAACAGAGGUUAGAAAAUUGG